AUUUCUAAUCUGCUGUUGGCAACCCAAAGCAAAAUGGGAGCAGCCAACAGAUUGCAUUCAUACUUGACUUGUUUGACAGGAUGGUUUUGAUUUAGCAC